rnacentral:rRNA from 1 species
UACGUAGGGGGCUAGCGUUAUCCGGAAUUACUGGGCGUAAAGGGUGCGUAGGUGGUUUCUUAAGUCAGAGGUGAAAGGCUACGGCUCAACCGUAGUAAGCUUUUGGAACUGUAAGACUUGAGUGCAGGAGAGGAGAGUGGAAUUCCUAGUGUAGCGGUGAAAUGCGUAGAUAUUAGGAGGAACACCGGUGGCGAAGGCGGCUUUCUGGACAGUAACUGACGCUGAGGCGCGAAAGCGUGGGGAUCGAACAGGAUUAGAUACCCGUGUAGUCCCUGAGCGGGCU